rnacentral:lncRNA from 1 species
AAAAGCUUUUUACCAAAGAAGGAAAAGCUACAAAGGAAAGCUACCAUUCGUUUCUUGCAGUGGGGGUGGGGGUGUGGAGGUGAGGGGUUGGGGCGGUGGCCAGCUGAAUGACUCUAGGCAAACUACUUACGUAGUUCUAGCCAGUUACUACAGUUCUAGGCAAUGGAACGGAAGAGAAAAUUCUACAGGACAGAUUCCUAAGAUAAUUUUGCUCUCUGUCAAAGGAUCAAUUUCAAGUGGUACCCUUCCUUCUUUUCUUGCUUUAACUAUGGAUAUGAUGUCCAGAACUACUGCAGGCAUUUAUCAACCGUAAGGUGAUGAGCAAAUUAGAAGCUGAGAGAGUCUUAUCCACAACGGCCCUGGCAUCUUCAUGCUGAGGAAACACUGGCAGCCUCUAUAUCAGGCUUCUUGCUGGUUGUACUGUGUGUCCCUGAUAGUUUGCCUAACUGCACGCAAGAAGGCUGACUCCAGCAGAGAAAAACCUGUUAUUAAGAAGGUGGCUAAG